GCAGCAGCCACGGGAAUACAGAGGGUGCGAGCGUUAAUCGGAUUUACUGGGCGUAAAGCGUGCGUAGGCGGCUUUUUAAGUCGGAUGUGAAAUCCCUGAGCUUAACUUAGGAAUUGCAUUCGAUACUGGGAAGCUAGAGUAUGGGAGAGGAUGGUAGAAUUCCAGGUGUAGCGGUGAAAUGCGUAGAGAUCUGGAGGAAUACCGAUGGCGAAGGCAGCCAUCUGGCCUAAUACUGACGCUGAGGUACGAAAGCAUGGGGAGCAAACAGGAUUAGAUACCCCAGUAGUCCCUGUCUCUUAUAC
rnacentral:rRNA from 1 species